CUCUAGCGUUUGGGACAAAGGCUCGGAUAUGAAACGUUCCAGUUUGUCCUUCUGUAUAAACGUUUCUCCUGAGCUGGGACGCUGGAUGGUGUGAAGGAGCCCCCGAGCCCCCGGGUGUCGGUAAAGCCGCACUGCUGGACUCUGAGUUAAAGCAGUUAAAGCACUUAUUAUCCUGAAGAAGGAGUGAAAACGCUCUGCAGCUCUGGAUCACUUCGACACCGAGAACUCCACAACCUGCGCUUUUAUUAACCGCCGCUAAUAAAGUUCAUAAACCGCACUAUUAGGCUUUAUAAUGGCUUUUCAUAGUGGCUCUGGGGUUUCAGCCAGCCAAUCAGAGGAGAGAGAGAGAGACACGGCCCUACGGGGGAGAGAGAGGGAGAGAGAGGGAGGGGGAGAGAGAGAGGGAGAGAGGGAGAGAGAGGGAGGGAGAGAGAGAGAGGGAGAGAGAUGGAUAAAGAGAGAGAGGGAUAGAGAGACAGACAGAGAGAGAGGAAUAGAGAGACAGACAGAUAGAGAGAGAGAGGGAUAGAGAGACAGACAGAUAGAGAGGGAUAGAGAGACAGACAGAUAGAGAGAGAGAGAGGGUUAGAGAGACAGACAGAUAGAGAGAGAGAGAGGGUUAGAGAGACAGACAGAGAGAGAGAGGGUUAGAGAGAGACAGAGAGAGAGGGAUAGAGAGAGAGAGAUAUAGAGAGAGACAGAGAGAGGAAUAGAGAGACAGACAGAUAGAGAGAGAGAGGGAUAGAGAGACAGACAGAUAGAGAGGGAUAGAGAGACAGACAGAUAGAGAGAGAGAGGGUUAGAGAGACAGACAUAGAGAGAGAGAGGGUUAGAGAGACAGACAGAGAGAGAGAGAGAGAGAGGGAUAGAGAGACAGACAGAUAGAGAGAGGGUUAGAGAGACAGACAGAUAGAGAGAGAGAGGGUUAGAGAGAGACAGAGAGAGAGAGAGACAGAGAGAGAGGGAUAGAGAGACAGAUAGAUAGAGAGAGAGAGAGAGAGACAGAUAGAUAGAUAUAGAGAGAGAGAGAGAGAGAGAGAGAGAGAGACAGACAAAGGCAGGCAGGCAGGCAGACAUUUAGAGAGAGAGAGUUAAAGCUUAUUGAACUGAGAGAGAGACAGACAGAUGGACAGACAGACAAAGGGAGAGAGAGAGACAGAGACAGACAAAGAGACACAGAUAGAGAGUGCGUUAAAGCUUCUUAGACAGAGAGACAGACAGAGAUAGACAGACAGACAGAGAGAGAGAGUUAAAGCUCAUUAGACAGAGACAGAUAGACUGAGAGACAGACAGACAGAGAGAGAGAGAGUUAGAGAGAGAGAGUUAAAGCUCAUUAGACUGAGAGACAGACAGAUAGACUGAGAGACAGACAGAUAGAGAGAGAGAGUUAAAGCUCAUUAGACUGAGAGACAGACAGAUAGACUGAGAGACAGACAGACAGAUAGAGAGAGAGAGUUAAAGCUCAUUAGACUGAGAGACAGACAGAUAGAGAGAGAGAGUUAAAGCUCAUUAGACUGAGAGACAGACAGAUAGACUGAGAGACAGACAGAGAGAGAGAGGAAACAGUCUAUUAACCGAAGGGGAAAGGACACGGGAUGUGUUUCAGUUAGCACUUUCUGUCUCUUCAUCUGGACUUUAUUUAGGUCUGUUUAUUUAUAUAAGCUUUAUUUCUUUAGAACUUUGACCUGUGACUUCACGAGCCUCGGUCUUGUGGGCCAAUAGAAAAGAAGGAGGCGGGACUAUGGUCUGUUUAAAAUAAAAUGGCGGCGCUGACGGUUCUUCACCAGCUUCCAGACUUUUCCCUCACUGCGUUCUUCGUGUUGCUGAUCGCAAAUCGGAAAAAAAUCUCCUCCAGUAAAUUACCCAUCUCAUCCACCAGCACGUGCUCGGCUUCUGCUGGUGAAAUAGUUUUUACCCCUCUGUGUACCUGUAAAAGAACAUAAUGAUUAAUAAUUGUCCAAAUGCAGGAACAUUACCCGGACCUGCGUUCUCCCUCAGUCGCUUCUCUCCGCAGUUCAGCCGAAGGUCUAAUCAGAGUGCAGUUCGGUUUAUGAUGAUAAAGAACAUACAGUGAUAUAGUUUUUACAGGCGCCCCCUCCCUCUCCCCCUCCCUCUCCCCCUCCCCUUUUUAGAGGAAUACAGAGCUUUAGAAACAUGUUUCUCAUUCCGUAUCGCCAGGACGCUGCCAAGUGCACAUCUUCAGUUGCGUUUUCAUGCGCUCUCUGUGUUUACACGUGGUCAACCACGUUCUCAGAGCGGCUGUGUCCUAAUUGACUCCAUAAAGUUUAUACUUCGCUCCAGCGGGUAAACGGGCGCGUCGUUUCGCCGGAGCGCUCGACGUCGGAGCGGCUUCUCUUAUGUUCAGCUCCGUGGAAUAACGCUACCGGACCUGUAGCUAGCAUAAACACACGAAUUAGCCACGUUGGCAUCCACGCAGGGAAUUCUGUGCGUUCUGUGUUAAGGCUCGGUUGUUAAGGAGGUCCUGAGUCCAGAAGGUCCUGAGUUUAAAC
ensembl:lncRNA